GAUGAACGCUAUCGACAGGCUUAACACAUGCAAGUCGAGGGGCAGCACAGGUAGCAAUACCGGGUGGCGACCGGCGCACGGGUGAGUAACGCGUAUGCAACUUACCUAUCAGAGGGGGAUAACCCGGCGAAAGUCGGACUAAUACCGCAUGAAGCAGGGGCCCCGCAUGGGGAUAUUUGCUAAAGAUUCAUCGCUGAUAGAUAGGCAUGCGUUCCAUUAGGCAGUUGGCGGGGUAACGGCCCACCAAACCGACGAUGGAUAGGGGUUCUGAGAGGAAGGUCCCCCACAUUGGUACUGAGACACGGACCAAACUCCUACGGGAGGCAGCAGUGAGGAAUAUUGGUCAAUGGCCGAGAGGCUGAACCAGCCAAGUCGCGUGAGGGAUGAAGGUUCUAUGGAUCGUAAACCUCUUUUAUAAGGGAAUAAAGUGCGGGACGUGUCCCGUUUUGUAUGUACCUUAUGAAUAAGGAUCGGCUAACUCCGUGCCAGCAGCCGCGGUAAUACGGAGGAUCCGAGCGUUAUCCGGAUUUAUUGGGUUUAAAGGGUGCGUAGGCGGCCUUUUAAGUCAGCGGUGAAAGUCUGUGGCUCAACCAUAGAAUUGCCGUUGAAACUGGGGGGCUUGAGUAUGUUUGAGGCAGGCGGAAUGCGUGGUGUAGCGGUGAAAUGCAUAGAUAUCACGCAGAACCCCGAUUGCGAAGGCAGCCUGCCAAGCCAUUACUGACGCUGAUGCACGAAAGCGUGGGGAUCAAACAGGAUUAGAUACCCUGGUAGUCCACGCAGUAAACGAUGAUCACUAGCUGUUUGCGAUACACUGUAAGCGGCACAGCGAAAGCGUUAAGUGAUCCACCUGGGGAGUACGCCGGCAACGGUGAAACUCAAAGGAAUUGACGGGGGCCCGCACAAGCGGAGGAACAUGUGGUUUAAUUCGAUGAUACGCGAGGAACCUUACCCGGGUUUGAACGCAUUCGGACCGAGGUGGAAACACCUUUUCUAGCAAUAGCCGUUUGCGAGGUGCUGCAUGGUUGUCGUCAGCUCGUGCCGUGAGGUGUCGGCUUAAGUGCCAUAACGAGCGCAACCCUUGCCACUAGUUACUAACAGGUAAAGCUGAGGACUCUGGUGGGACUGCCAGCGUAAGCUGCGAGGAAGGCGGGGAUGACGUCAAAUCAGCACGGCCCUUACAUCCGGGGCGACACACGUGUUACAAUGGCGUGGACAAAGGGAAGCCACCUGGCGACAGGGAGCGAAUCCCCAAACCACGUCUCAGUUCGGAUCGGAGUCUGCAACCCGACUCCGUGAAGCUGGAUUCGCUAGUAAUCGCGCAUCAGCCAUGGCGCGGUGAAUACGUUCCCGGGCCUUGUACACACCGCCCGUCAAGCCAUGGGAGCCGGGGGUACCUGAAGUCCGUAACCGCGAGGAUCGGCCUAGGGCAAAACUGGUGACUGGGGCU
rnacentral:rRNA from 1 species